UACGUAGGGAGCAAGCGUUGUCCGGAAUUACUGGGCGUAAAGGGUGCGUAGGCGGCAUGGUGUGUCAGAUGUGAAAUCCCCGGGCUUAACUCGGGGGGUGCAUUUGAAACUGCUGUGCUUGAGUGCAGGAGAGGAAAGCGGAAUUCCUAGUGUAGCGGUGAAAUGCGUAGAUAUUAGGAGGAACACCAGUGGCGAAGGCGGCUUUCUGGACUGUAACUGACGCUGAGGCA
rnacentral:rRNA from 1 species